AACGAACGCUGGCGGCAUGCCUAACACAUGCAAGUCGAACGAGACCUUCGGGUCUAGUGGCGCACGGGUGCGUAACGCGUGGGAACCUGCCCUUAGGUUCGGAAUAACUCCCCGAAAGGGGUGCUAAUACCGGAUAAUGUCUUCGGACCAAAGAUUUAUCGCCUUUGGAUGGGCCCGCGUUGGAUUAGCUAGUUGGUAGGGUAAAAGCCUACCACGGCGACGAUCCAUAGCUGGUCUGAGAGGAUGUUCAGCCACACUGGGACUGAGACACGGCCCAGACUUCUACGGUGGGCAGCAGUGGGGAAUAUUGGACACUGGGCGAAAGCCUGAUCCAGCAAUGCCGCGUGAGUGAUGAAGGCCUGAGGGUUGUAAAGCUCUUUUACCCGGGAUGAUAAUGACAGUACCGGGAGAAUAAGCUCCGGCUAACUCCG
rnacentral:rRNA from 1 species